rnacentral:lncRNA from 1 species
UUCUUUACUCUCUUGUGAUCCCUCCUCCACUAAAUUCAAGUCUUCUUGUCUGCUACUUUUUUGGAUAUGGCUCCAAAGAUGAAACUUCCCCAAAGAAGGAAAUCAAUCCGAGAGCCUGAGGAAAUUGUCCGAAAGAAAAGGCAUGCUCAGUCUUCCAGUGUUCUCGAUCCAGUUUCAGUACCUGCUCAAGGUCUCUCUCAAUCCUCCAUAAGCCCCAGUGUAAAUCCUCUUUCUGAUAGAAAAGUAGAAAUCGAAAAAAAUAUAGAUUUUCGAUUCUUUGAGAAAGAA